AUACGGAGGAUGCGAGCGUUAUCCGGAUUUAUUGGGUUUAAAGGGAGCGUAGGUGGGAUAUUAAGUCAGCUGUGAAAGUUUGGGGCUCAACCUUAAAAUUGCAGUUGAUACUGGUUUCCUUGAGUACGGUACAGGUGGGCGGAAUUCGUGGUGUAGCGGUGGAAUGCUUAGAUAUCACGAAGAACUCCGAUCGCGAAGGCAGCUCACCGGGCCGGAACUGACACUGAUGCUCGAAAGUGCGGGUAUCAAACAGGAUUAGAUACCCUGGUAGUCCGCACAGUAAACGAUGAAUACUCGCUGUUUGCGAUACACUGUAAGCGGCCAAGCGAAAGCGUUAAGUAUUCCACCUGGGGAGUACGCCGGCAACGGUGAAACUCAAAGGAAUUGGCGGGG
rnacentral:rRNA from 1 species